CGAAUGGACUGCCAAAAUAAUCAUAACACACAUUUACUUUCACAUAAAAAAAAAAAAAAUCAAUAAACUAUACGAUAAGAAAAAAGUCAUUGGCGUACUGUACAUUUAACUUGAAAGCAGAAAAUGGAUAAAUAAUAGAUAAAAGAAAUAGGCACAGAGAGAUAGGAAGAUGAGACAACGAGCCAGUUCAUUUGAAGCUUCGAGCACGAGAGCUAUCCGUGAGGAGACGCCGGUGAAGGGCAGUGAGCAACAGGACAUGAGAUGGGGAUGUGGCAGCUGAUCUUUGCUCCUGCUGCUGCUGCUACCCCCCUCCCCCCUGCAACGGUCCUGUGGCGGGUGACGCCCUCUGUCGCCUCGAAUCCAAGCUACUGCUGCUAGAGGUGCAACACGUGGGACAGCUUUGCGGACUAGCACUGCCACGUCCUCCCCCCCCGCUUGACGGCCUGCGCGGCAGGACACAGCAUGCAGCAUCUAUACACAGGCCCGCCAGGGACACCCAUCCUAGCCCAGCUGCUGUUCUGUGCUGCUUUGUUGAGGCAUGAGGGUUUCGGACGUAGAUGCUACGGUCAUGUUUUCCCCGCAACGUUUCAGGAAAGGACUAUUCAGUCCUGCGAAGGCUGGAUGGAGUGCAGCGAUGAUUACAUAGUACUAAAAACUCAGCUUUUAUUAGUUUAAAAGAAUAAUAACUUUGCAAAGGCUCUUUCUUCUCUGUAGCCUGGAAGGACAAGCAGCACAACAGCUCCCCCCUGCAGGGAGGGUACCGUUGUCUGCUGUAGUUAGGACUGGCAGUGCCCGCCCUCUCGUAUGACUCGUCCUUCUUCAUGCGUGCUAUCUGAAAAAGGAAAGGUCUUCAAUUACUGGCUGUGUUAAAAUUUGUUUGGUUGUUGUAUUAGCAGCAUAUAUGCUGUUAAGAAAUAAAAACGGAAAUUCUAAA